rnacentral:rRNA from 1 species
AGCGCAGGUGGUUCCUUAAGUCUGAUGUGAAAGCCCACGGCUCAACCGUGGAAGGUCAUUGGAAACUGGGGAACUUGAAUGCAGAAGAGGAGAGUGGAAUUCCAUGUGUAGCGGUGAAAUGCGUAGAUAUAUGGAGGAACACCAGUGGCGAAGGCGACUCUCUGGUCUGUUAUUGACACUGAGGCUCGAAAGCGUGGGGAGCAAACA